rnacentral:rRNA from 1 species
GACGAACGCUGGCGGCGCGCUUAACACAUGCAAGUCGAGCGGUAAGGCCUCUUCGGGGGUACACGAGCGGCGAACGGGUGAGUAACACGUGGGUGACCUGCCCUCAGCUCUGGGAUAAGCCUGGGAAACUGGGUCUAAUACCGGAUAUGACCUUUCCUCGCAUGGGGUUUGGUGGAAAGUUUUUUCGGCUGGGGAUGGGCCCGCGGCCUAUCAGCUUGUUGGUGGGGUGAUGGCCUACCAAGGCGACGACGGGUAGCCGGCCUGAGAGGGCGACCGGCCACACUGGGAGUGAGACACGGCCCAGACUCCUACGGGAGGCAGCAGUGGGGAAUAUUGCGCAAGGGGCGGAAGCCUGACGCAGCGACGCCGCGUGGGGGAUGACGGCUUUCGGGUUGUAAACCUCUUUCGACCCCGACGAAUUUGGACGGUAGGGGUAGAAGAAGCACCGGCCAACUACGUG